AGAGAGAGACGGAGAGAGAGAGACAGAGAGAGAGAGACAGAGAGAGAGAGACAGAGAGAGAGACAGAGACAGAGGCAGUCGAAGCCAAACACAGCUGUAAGUUUCUCCAGGAAUGCAGCAGAUCUGAACCCAAUCCUGGAUAAAAACAUUCCCGUCGAGCCUGAGGAACAAAGAACCUCCAGCUUUGAGCAUUCAGAGCUCGCUCCUUUGUCAGGUAGAGGACGUAUUGAUUAGAGGGGACCCACAUACCAGCGCUGACCUGUGUGUGUGUGUGUGUGUGUGUGUGUGUGUGUGUGUGUGUGUGUUGGACCCCUCUAAAAGUGAGGAUCUGGAGCUCGUUUACAGAGGAACAGGAAUGUUUUGGUGGGAAAGCUGUAGGUGUAACCGUUACCGCUCCAAAACCAGGCCAGACUAAAAAAAGGAGCGUCUCGUAUGAAAAGGGUCCCGGCCCCCGGGGCCCUAUUGAGACCCCUCCAAGUGUGCAAAAUCCCCCAGAGGGCCGGUCAAGAUCACCAGGGGUCACAUUCCAGCACUCAGGAGAAAAAAAACAAACUACAAAAAAAGAAGAGGUGACGAGACGUUUGAAGAAUCAAACUGUAAAUCUCAGAAAGCUGCAGGAUUUUACAGGAUUCAAACCCACAACCUGACAUGUGCUGCUAACCCGCCAUCUUCUCCUGCUUUUCACAGCAUCUGUACGAGUCCGGGCCCAGCGAGGGGGAGGAGGGGGGCCCGGCCCGGCUGCAUGUGGGUGGCAUCCAGACGGGCCGCACUCCACCAUACGCUGGCCCAAAUUACCAGCCAGCGUAAAUAAAAAUACCAGAACCGGCCGUGGUUCACCAGCAGCACCAAAAAUACUCCUUCAGGAACAAAGACGUGACUGUGGGAAGAGUUUACACACAAACAGUUCCUGGAAGUGUCACCUCACAACACUGAAACCUGCAGACAACACGGUUCAGGUCCUGCAGAGAAGCAGAGCUGCAGGACUCAUUAACCAGAAACGUGGAGGAUUCAGGUGAACGUGACGCUGAUUUAUUAUGAAUACAAACUUCCUGCAGCAUCACAGGUGAGAAGAACCGACUCCCAGCUGGAUCUGCUGCACCUGACAGAUGUUUCUGAAGGAAUAAAUCCGUCUCGUCAGUGAAACACCUGGUUGUUUCCAGCUUCACCUUCAGUCUGGACCCAAACACCCCCCACCUGCAGAGCAUCAAUGGGGUCUCAGCCAGUUUACAGGACGUACUGGGAGGUGAUUUCAUGUCUCUGCCAGUCGGUGAGUUCAGCAGGUUUGAUUCUCCCUGCAGCUGCUCUCAGUUUGACUCAUCAGUUGUGUCUGCAGCCGACACAACACCAGAUCAACCUGCUGAACUUAUUAAGAUCAACUUCCUGUCAGAGGAACAAUCUGAGGUUUUAUUACAGAGGCUUUAAAAAG